AUGCCGCGUGGGUGAAGAAGGCCUUCGGGUUGUAAAGCCCUUUCGGCAGGGAAGAAAUCGGCGGGGCGAAUAACCCUGCUGGAUGACGGUACCUGCAGAAGAAGCACCGGCUAACUACGUGCCAGCAGCCGCGGUAAUACGUAGGGUGCGAGCGUUAAUCGGAUUUACUGGGCGUAAAGCGUGCGCAGGCGGCCCGUUAAGACAGGUGUGAAAUCCCUGGGCUCAACCUAGGAAUUGCGCUUGUGACUGGCGGGCUCGAGUACGGUAGAGGGGGGUGGAAUUCCUGGUGUAGCAGUGAAAUGCGUAGAGAUCAGGAGGAACACCGAUGGCGAAGGCAGCCCCCUGGGCCUGUACUGACGCUCAUGCACGAAAGCGUGGGGAGCAAACAGGAUUAGAUACCCUGGUAGUCCACGCCCUAAACGAUGGGUACUAGCCGUUUGGUGCGCGAUAGCGCUGAGUGGCGAAGCUAACGCGUGAAGUACCCCGCCUGGGGAGUACGGCCGCAAGGUUGAAACUCAAAG
rnacentral:rRNA from 1 species